CUUUCUGAGCGUGCUUGUUAAUAUUUGUGAAGGCAACUCUAUAUAAGCAUGCUCUAAAAUAUUUUCUUAAAGUUCCCGCUACAAUUGCCCCCUAAAAUUUUGCUGAAAAACUAUGCCCUAAAAUAUUUCGCUAAAAUCUAUCUUCCAGAUUUUACCCACACUAGAAGAAAAUCUCCUCGUUCUUCUUCCCUAAAAUUCCAUAAGCAAAGUUGAGGGCUCUUCUCUUAUCUUUUAGCAGAUUGAGUAAAGCAAAAUAGAGUGGGUUGAAAUACUUCUGUUGGGUUAUGUGGAAAUCAAAUUCAAUUGGGGAUUUCGUUGUUUAGGGCUUACAACCGCUUCAAAAAUCCCGUAUGGUGGAAGUAUUCUGCUCUUAUUGAUUGAGGAUUACUCAUCUGAUACGCGUGCUUUUUUGCUCGCUUGUUAAGGUUGUUACACUUUUAGUAUGUUAAUCAUACUAUUUGUGGCUUCUAGCUUGUUUAUUCACAAAAAGCAAGGCUAUUAUGAUCAUCCUCCAUGUGUGAUGAGAUUCAAUCUUGUUUUGGCCUUCCAUCAGGCUAUAACAAACAAUGCAUCUUUGUUCGUCUUAGUUGCAAGUAUUGGAAGACAGAGCUACUAAAGAGAAUAAAGAAAAUGCAAAUGGGGAACUAAAGGCUUACAAACCUUCAGAAGUUUCUAUGGGUUUGAACAAGAAAAGCUCACACGCUGAUUAGAUUAAUGGUGAGGUCAAGCUUACAAAAAUGGAUCAGUUACAAAAUCAGGAGAUGAUGUAUUAGAAAAGAAACUUGUAGCUAAGGGGAUAUCAAAUGGGGUUUCUAAUAGAUGCUAACUUCAAUGAUUAAUAUGUAUAAAGUGUUAUCAUGAUACAUAAAUUUUAUUUUUUUUCAGUUUAUUGUUAGGUUGCACCUUUGAACAA